rnacentral:lncRNA from 1 species
GCUUAGGGAUGGGUGCCGGGGGGCGCGCUUUCCCGCGUGAAGAUCGCUCCAGGAGUCAUGCGUACAUUCGUUCAUUUUGCUCUGGACGCACUGAUGUUCCCGGCUCGCCGCCGCGCCGCAGUCACGAGGCUCUCCGAACGCCUUUCACUGUGUUUCUGUUUACAUUCGCGUCUGCAAGACCUGGCGGCGCGACCGAGGCCCGAACAGAUGGAAAUGGGCUGCCAUGUUGUGAGCUGCCCCAUGGGGAAGAGGCUCACAUGUGAGGAACUGAGGGAGGCCUCCAGAAAACAGCCAGUGAAGAACUGAGACCCUCAGUCCAAUAGCCUAUGAGGAACUGAAUCCUGCUGACAACCAUAUGAAUGAGCUUGGAAGCAGGUCCUUCCCCAGUGAAGCCUUCAUGUGAGACUGCAGCCCACUUGACACUUUGAUUUGUAGCUUGUGACAGACCCCAAGCCAGAAGAGUCAGGUAAGCAGUGCCUGCACUCCUGACCCAUGGCAAC